rnacentral:lncRNA from 1 species
ACAAGCAAUGAGUAUAGACCUUAUUAAGAUCCAAAGGUAUGGGUCAAGCCUACCCCCUAGCGGCGCGUUUCAGUGUGAAGGGGUGCCGUGAACAGCCGCUUUUUAUUUGGCUUGCCGCAUGUGGCAUGGUAAUAGGCUAUUCAACGGUAGCAGGCGACUACCACAUUUUUCGUAAGUUUAUUCUUCUUUUUAUAAACUGUAGAAACACCACAAAUACAACACACUCUUGUAUUUCCCAUUUCUUGUAAUGUUGUUCGAAACCGUGUAAUCCAACAUAUGACAGAAACUUACGAAAAAUGUGGUAGUCGCCUGCUACCGUUGAAUAGCCUAUUACCAUACCACAUGCGGCAAGCCAAAUAAAAAGCGGCUGUUCACGGCACCCCUUCACACUGAAACGCGCCGCUAGGGGGUAGGCUUGACCCAUACCUUUGGAUCUUAAUAAGGUCUAUAGAUCUUAUUGCAAUUCAAAAGUACGCGACAAGCCAAAAGUCGUGCGCAGCUUACGCCGAUGCGCACCACUGUGGCCUAUAGCCGAACUAAAAAUUGUUUUAUGCUUGACUAUAACCAUUCGUACGAUGCUUUACCACAGACGGAUUGCCAGUUAUUUUCCAGUUGACAUUUCGUCCGUUGUUUCAGUCACUGCAGCGUAAAACCUUGUUAUUAAAUAACAUGAGACGAGUUUGUUGUAUUUGUGGUGAAUUCGAAACGCAAUCAAGAAAAAGUUCUUUCUCUUUUUUUUCAAUUCCUAAGAAACAUGGAUUAUUGCGUGCAAAUGAGAUCCAGUUAGUGGAAAGACGAAUUUCAGCUUGGAAUGCUAUUCUUGGGCAGUAUUUAAAUAGACACUAUGGUAUUCAAUGUGUUUGUUCCAACCAUUUCCAUUCAGGUAAACCAUCAUAUCUGUACCUUGACAAUGAUGUUGAUUGGGUUCCGUCCAAAAAUUUAUCCAACCUUCAACAACAUGAAGAAUCUGGUAUUGAGAAUGUGGCUGAUUGCAGCUUACAAAGUGAAGCAUUAAUUUCUACAGAAUCUGAAAUGGUACCAAAUUCAGUACCUGGUAUUUCAUGUGACAUUCACUGUGAAGAUAGUAAUUACGACAAGAAUUACAACGACACACAACUGCAUUCACUGAUUGAAGAAUCCAAAAGCUAAAAGAAACAAUUGGUUCUUUGGAGGAAAAACUCAAAAAAGAAAAAUUAAUCAAUAGAAUAACCGACAAUGACAAAAUGACCAAGUUUUAUACAGGACUCAAGUCUUGGAAACUGUUCUUAGUAAUGUACAAAUUACUUUUACCUGGAAUUGAUCACUGCAGUUUAUCUACCAAACGAUCACUUCAAACAGAAGAGCAAUUUCUGUUAGUCCUCAUGAGGCUGCGACUAAACUUAUCCGAACAAGACUUAGCUUACCGAUUUCAUAUUUCUCAAACAUCUGUUUCCUCUUAUUUAGCAAAAUGGAUUGAUGUAAUGUACAUUCGUCUAUCCAGAAACUUCAUGGUUUGGCCAACAAGGGAAGCUUUAAGGAAAUCAACGCCAACAUAUUUUCGAAACAAAUUUCCUGGAUGCGUGAGCAUAAUUGAUGCUUUCGAAAUCCCUUUGGAAAGGUUCAACAAUCUACUAGCUAGGUCUUCAACUUUUUCAUUUUACAAGGGCAGGAACACUAUUAAAUAUCUAAUUUCAGUAACACCUGUUGGAUCUAUAUCGUACAUAUCUCAGGGAUAUGGCGGUAGAAGUACAGAUGUGCAUAUUACUUUGGAUAAAAAAAUGUUGCUGUAGUUGAUGAUGAGAAUUUCUUGGAUAAGCUCCAAAAAGAUGACGUUGUAUUGGCCGAUCGAGGAUUUCUAGUAGAAGAAGAAGUUCGAAAGAGGGGUGCAAAAUUGAUCACUCCUGCGUUUCUCGGAAGAAGAACACGACUUACACGUAGUGAAGUAAAUUAUUCCAGAAAAGUUUCAAAUGUACGCAUUCACGUUGAGAGAGUCAUUGGUAAAUUGAGACAAACUUUCAGAAUUUUGAGAGACAGAGUGCCUGUAAGUUUGGUAGGAGGAGACAAAGAUAAAAUUUCUUUUUUUGAUAAAAUUGUUUUUGUGUGUUGCUGCUUAAGUAACGCAAACCCUAGUGUUGUACCAAUUCGCUAAUUUCUCCAUUAAUGUACCAAGUUUCCAAUUUCAAAAUAAAAAACCCUUUUUUCCAAA